rnacentral:rRNA from 1 species
UGGGCAACCUGCCCCUAGCUCUGGGAUAACUGCGGGAAACUGUAGCUAAUACCGGAUGUGACACGAGACUGCAUGGUCUUCGUGUGGAAAGAUUUAUCGGCUAGGGAUGGGCCCGCGGCCUAUCAGCUUGUUGGUGGGGUAAUGGCCUACCAAGGCGACGACGGGUAGCCGGCCUGAGAGGGCGACCGGCCACACUGGGACUGAGACACGGCCCAGACCUCCGUACGGGGAGCA